rnacentral:rRNA from 1 species
UACCAGCACCCCGAGUGGUCGGGACGGUUGUUGGGCCUAAAGCAUCCGUAGCCGGUUCUACAAGUCUUCCGUUAAAUCCACCUGCUUAACAGAUGGGCUGCGGAGGAUACUAUAGAGCUAGGAGGCGGGAGAGGCAAGCGGUACUUGGUGGGUAGGGGUAAAAUCCGUUGAUCCAUUGAAGACCACCAGUGGCGAAGGCGGCUUGCCAGAACGCACUCGACGGUGAGGGAUGAAAGCUGGGGGAGCAAACCGG